rnacentral:rRNA from 1 species
CUUAAGCAUAUCAAUAAGCGGAGGAAAAGAAACCAACAGGGAUUGCCCUAGUAACGGCGAGUGAAGCGGCAACAGCUCAAAUUUGAAAUCUGGCGCAAGCCCGAGUUGUAAUUUGUAGAGGAUGCUUCUGGGCAGCGGCCGGUCUAAGUUCCUUGGAACAGGACGUCACAGAGGGUGAGAAUCCCGUAUGUGACCGGCGCGCACCCUCCACGUAGCUCCUUCGACGAGUCGAGUUGUUUGGGAAUGCAGCUCUAAAUGGGAGGUAAAUUUCUUCUAAAGCUAAAUACCGGCCAGAGACCGAUAGCGCACAAGUAGAGUGAUCGAAAGAUGAAAAGCACUUUGGAAAGAGAGUUAAAAAGCACGUGAAAUUGUUGAAAGGGAAGCGCUUGCAACCAGACUCCGCGGCGGUGUUCCGCCGGUCUUCUGACCGGUCCACUCGCCGCCGCGGGGCCAACAUCGUCUGGGGCCGCCGGACAAGACUGGAGGAAUGUAGCUCCCUCGGGAGUGUUAUAGCCUUCAGUGAUGCGGCGCGUCCCGGGCGAGGUCCGCGCUUCGGCAAGGAUGUUGGCGUAAUGGUUGCCAGCGGCCCGUCUUGAAACACGGACCAAGGAGUCUAACAUCUAUGCGAGUGUUCGGGUGUCAAACCCCUACGCGUAAUGAAAGUGAACGGAGGUGGGAGCUUCGGCGCACCAUCGACCGAUCCUGAUGUCCUCGGAUGGAUUUGAGUAAGAGCAUAGCUGUUGGGACCCGAAAGAUGGUGAACUAUGCCUGAAUAGGGUGAAGCCAGAGGAAACUCUGGUGGAGGCUCGCAGCGGUUCUGACGUGCAAAUCGAUCGUCAAAUUUGGGUAUAGGGGCGAAAGACUAAUCGAACCAU